ACUAGUUCUUAUACUUUUAUAGAUAUCAAUAAAAAGUAAAAUCACAAAAAUACUGAACUCCGAGGAAAAUUCAAUCGGAAAGUCCCUAAUCACAUGACAAAAUCAAAUGACAAAACCCAUCAAACGAAUGGACAACAACUGUCAUAUUCCUGACUUGGUACAGGCAUUUUCAAAUGUAGAAAAUGGUGGAUUGAACCUGGUUUUAUAGCGCUAAACCUCUCACUUGUACGACAGUCUUAUCAAAUUCCGUUAUAUUUACAACGAUGCGUGAACAAAACAGACAUUAUAAAUAAAAUAGUCAAAAUAUGGGUACAGCAGUCAUCACUGUGUUACAAUAUCAAAACAAACAAUUAUUUACAAAAAAAGCACAAAAGCAUCUAUCAAAUUAAAAACCACAUUCAUUGCUUCGCGUGUCUGACGUCAGAAAAUGUAAACGUCACAUAAGAAAAAAGUUUGUCAUUCAAUGUUUAUUCAAAACAAUUUUAUAAUUUCACAUGGGGAAUGUUGGUAUACAGGGUUAAAAAAUCAAAAGUUAUGUUAGAAUUAAUUUCAGAAAUAGACCGAGAUUUAAAAUUGUCCAAAAGUUCUUUAGAAUUUUAAAGAAUCCACAUAUGGUAAAUACCACUACGCGAGUAAAAUAAAUUUGUCGUUUGUCGUUCAAAGUAUUUUCAAAUUUAUAAUAGAACAAUAACAUAAUGACAUAUAAUAGAACAAUAACAUAAUGACGGGAUCUUUUAAAGUACAGAGUCACGUUAUAAGAACCACGUUAACACAAAAAGUCGCAUAUACAAAACACACCAGCAAGAAUGAAAGAUAAUACAAACACAUUGACGGGAUGUAUGAGUACCUAGCCACGUCAAAUGGAUAUCACAGAAAACAAACCAAACAGUAAAAGUAAUAUUAAUAAUAGAACAAAGACAAAUGAAAGAACAAUAUUACACGUUGUUAAGAUGAUAAACAACGUCAGUAUGCAGAAUCUAUACUUCAAGACCAUCAUGUAUUAUUUGUGAAGUUGAUACGGAAUAUUUAUCAACAAGGUCUUGGUACCUUCCGAUGAACUUUUUUAGAAAAAGGACGAGACGUUCUUUGACAUACCCCUGGUUCAUCAACUUUCUGCUCAGACACUGGUGACGUUUUACAAAGUCUGAGUAGGAGCUGCAAGCUCUUGAAUAUCGAAUAAGUUGGGAAAUGUAUAUCCCAUAUGCAGGUGAAGUUGGUAUAUUGCUACUAAGGUGGGGGAAAUUUAUAAUUUUAAAACUAAACUCGUCUCGUUUGUCAUAGAUUCUGGUACUGAGAUGACUGUGUAUGAUAAAAUAAUAAAAUAAUAAAUAAUAAUAAAACACUGGUAAAAACGUACAAUUCAUAGAUAAUAACUCGAUUUAGAGUUUUUAGAAUGUUUUGGGUAGAUAGAUCUUGCCAUGCUGAUCUUCAUUUUUGGAAAAAUACUCUUUUAACUUUGCUCUGAUUGUUUUCAAAAUAAUGGCAAAAAACAGCAGUAAAAAAUACAAAAAUCUAAAUUUCAGGGGCAUUAAGGGGGUACCGUACACCUAAGAAAAGAUAACUCUGACUGAAAUUCUGAAUUAACUUACGUCAAUAUAGCGUUUUAAAAUACGCCUCAUAUUACAAGCGUUUUAUUGACCUUGAAUAGUUGUUUACCUGUUGAUAUGAAGCAGACGAUACAUCAAUGUUAUAAUGGAACAGCGUAAACGUGAUCCGUUUGGUAAAUUUUCGAGGUCUAAAUCUGCCGAUAAGAAAUCAAAUCGUUCAGAUUACUUCAAAUGGUUAAAUGAUGGCAGGAAAUUGGAAGAUUCUCCGCAAGUCGGCUUGCGUAAUGAUCAUGGCAAUUACGUAUACGAGUUUCUUGAUGUUGGGGCCGAGGCUGAAUUGGAAGAUGAUAACAAGUCUGAUGUGUCAAAAUCUUGGACAAUGAGGAGAAGAAUUGUUGAGUUGAAUGUCCUAGCAAAAGUAAUGUAUUGCUGCACUUGCAAGUGUCCGCUUCACCUGUCAAAUAUUGUAGGAGAACGACUGUUUGGGCUAGGUGGUCUACUGAUGGUGGAUUGUGAACUGUGUCAUACUGUAACUGAUGUCCAGUUUGGGAAGAGGGGGCCAUCUGGAAGUUAUGACAUCAACACAAAAGCUUCCAUAGGAAUGAUACAUGCAGGGAUGGGCCCAACUCAUCUGCAGAACUUUCUAGCAGAAUGUAACCUGCCAUCCAUUACAGAGAGCACAUUAAGGAAAAAAGAGAAAGAAUUAAGUGGACAGAUUAAAAAUGUAACAAUCCAGUCGUGCAAUAUGGCACAAAGAGAGGAAAAGUCACUUAGCACAAAUGGCAAUGUAAGUAUUAAAUGUAUGCACACAAAGUGGAAUAUCCAGACUGGAUGCCCCUUUCUAAAAAACUAAGUCUUUUUUACCCCCCACCC